rnacentral:rRNA from 1 species
AGCUCCAAUAGCGUAUAUUAAAGUUGUUGCAGUUAAAAAGCUCGUAGUUGGAUUUCUGGUAGGAACGACCGGUCCGCCCCGAAAGGGGUGUGUACUAGUGUUGUAUCCGGCCAUCCUUGCGGAGAACGUCUCUGGCAUUAGGUUGUCGGGGUCGGGAUCCGCAUCGUUUACUGUGAAAAAAUUAGAGUGUUUAAAGCAGGCAGUUGCUUGAAUACAUUAGCAUGGAAUAAUAAGAUAGGACUUUGGUGCUAUUUUGUUGGUUUGCACACCAAGGUAAUGAUUAAUAGGGAUAGUUGGGGGUAUUCAUAUUUAAUUGUCAGAGGUGAAAUUCUUAGAUUUAUGAAAGAUGAACUUAUGCGAAAGCAUUUACCAAGGAUGUUUUCAUUAAUCAAGAACGAAA